CGAAAAAUAACGAUACGGGACUCAUCCGAGGCCCCGUAAUCGGAAUGAGUACACUCUAAACCCUUUAACGAGGAUCAAUUGGAGGGCAAGUCUGGUGCCAGCAGCCGCGGUAAUUCCAGCUCCAAUAGCGUAUAUUAAAGUUGUUGCGGUUAAAAAGCUCGUAGUCGAAUUUGUGUCCCGCGCCGCCGGUUCAUCGCUCGCGGUGUCAACUGGCGUGUCCGCGGGACGUCCUGCCGGUGGGCUCAGCCCCUGCGGGGGCGGCCCAAUCUCAAUCCCACCGCGGUGCUCUUCACUGAGUGUCGAGGUGGGCCGGCACGUUUACUUUGAACAAAUUAGAGUGCUUAAAGCAGGCUAAAACAUCGCCUGAAUACUGUGUGCAUGGAAUAAUGGAAUAGGACCUCGGUUCUAUUUUGUUGGUUUUCGGAACCCCGAGGUAAUGAUUAACAGGAACGGAUGGGGGCAUUCGUAUUGCGACGUUAGAGGUGAAAUUCUUGGAUCGUCGCAAGACGGACAGAAGCGAAAGCAUUUGCCAAAAACGUUUUCAUUGAUCAAGAACGAAAGUUAGAGGUUCGAAGGCGAUCAGAUACCGCCCUAGUUCUAACCAUAAACGAUGCCAGCUAGCGAUUCGCCGACGUUCCUCCGAUGACUCGGCGGGCAGCUUCCGGGAAACCAAAGCUUUUGGGUUCCGGGGGAAGUAUGGUUGCAAAGCUGAAACUUAAAGGAAUUGACGGAAGGGCACCACCAGGAGUGGAGCCUGCGGCUUAAUUUGACUCAACACGGGAAACCUCACCAGGCCCGGACACCGGAAGGAUUGACAGAUUGAGAG
rnacentral:rRNA from 2 species